GGGCGAUUAGCUCAGUUGGGAGAGCACCGCCCUUACAAGGAGGGGGUCACUGGUUCGAGCCCGGUAUCGCCCACCA
rnacentral:tRNA from 1 species